GCAGAAGUGGCGGAAUUGGCAGACGCGCAAGACUAAGGAUCUUGUAGGCAUUGUUGUCUGUAGGGGUUCAAGUCCCCUCUUCUGCACCA
rnacentral:tRNA from 1 species